AGUACUUCGAAGGUGACCGUAGUUAUAUUCAACAAUGAGAUCAUGUUUCGCACAGCUCCUAUGAUGUUCAAGGGCCACCAAAUCUGCUUCCACUCCAUCUUUCUUGCCUCUCUCUCUCAACCAUGUCCCAUAAGCCUAAUCCCUAAACAACAUUGUUUGUCAGUCUCCAAAUAAAAUACAAAAUUCUUGGCA